UACGUAGGUGGCGAAUGUUAUCCGGAAUUAUUGGGCGUAAAGAAUGCGUAGAUUGUCUAAUAAGUCAUUGGUAGAAGUCAGGCUCAACUUGAAAGAAGCUGAUGAUACUGUUAUGCUAGAGUGUAGGAGAGGUUGAUGGAAUUCCAUGUGGAGCGGUGAAAUGCGUAGAUAUGCGGAGGAACACCGAUGGCGAAGGCAAUCCCCUGGGCCUGCACUGACGCUCAUGCACGAAAGCGUGGGGAGCAAACAGG
rnacentral:rRNA from 1 species